rnacentral:tRNA from 1 species
GAUUUGGUAGCUCAGCUGGUAGAGCAUCUCCCUUUUAAGGAGAGGGUCCUGGGUUCGAACCCCAGCCAAGUCAC